AACUGCGAGUGAAGCGGGAAAAGCUCAAAUUUAAAAUCUGGCAGCCUUUGGCCGUCCGAGUUGUAAUUUAGAGAAGCGUCUUCCGCGCUGGGUCGUGCACAAGUCUCCUGGAAUGGAGCGUCAUAGAGGGUGAGAAUCCCGUCUUUGGCACGAACGUCGGUGCUUCUGUGAUGCGCUCUCGAAGAGUCGAGUUGUUUGGGAAUGCAGCUCAAAAUGGGUGGUGAACUCCAUCUAAAGCUAAAUAUUGGCGAGAGACCGAUAGCGAACAAGUACCGUGAGGGAAAGAUGAAAAGCACUUUGGAAAGAGAGUGAAACAGUACGUGAAAUUGUUGAAAGGGAAACGCUUGAAGUCAGUCGCGUCGACCGAGACUCAGCCUUGGCUUGGCUUGGUGUACUUCUCGGCUCGACGGGUCAGCAUCAAUUUUGUCUCUCGGAUAAUGGCAGGGGAAAGGUGGCACCUUUACGGGUGUGUUAUAGUCUCUUGUCGCAUGCGAGGGGUGGGAUUGAGGAACUCAGCACGCACCUCGGUGUCGGGGCUUUU
rnacentral:rRNA from 1 species